AUUGAACGCUGGCGGCAGGCCUAACACAUGCAAGUCGAACGAGUGGCGGACGGGUGAGUAAUGUCUGGGAAACUGCAUGAUGGAGGGGGCUAACUACUGGAAACGGUAGAUAAUACCGCAUACCAUCGGCAGUGCCCAUAGUGGAUUAGCUUGGUGGUGGGGUAACGUGUCACCAAGGAGACUAUCCCUAGCUGGUCUGAGAGGAUGACCAGCCACACUGGAACUGAGACACGGUCCAGACUCCUACGGGAGGCAGCAGUGGGGAAUAUUGCACAAUGGGCGCAAGCCUGAUGCAGCCAUGCCGCGUGUAUGAAUAAGGCCUUCGGGUUGUAAAGUACUUUCAGCGGGGAGGCGUUACCCGCAGAAGAAGCACCGGCUAACUCCGUGACAGCAGCCGCGGUAAUUC
rnacentral:rRNA from 1 species